rnacentral:tRNA from 1 species
CAGGAUGUAGUUUAGAUAGAAUACUGGCUUUGGGAGUCAGAAGCAGAGGUGUGAGUCCUCUCGUCCUGA